CGGAAUGUAGCGCAGCUGGUAGCGUAUCCGCUUUGGGAGCGGGAGGUCGCAGGUUCGAAUCCUGUCAUUCCGA
rnacentral:tRNA from 2 species